GGCUGGCAAAUGAGCGAGCCGGCUCGCGUUCGACUCGCGUUCGACUCGAUAUUUGGCUCGCUCGAGCUCGAUUCGAAAUUAAAUGAGCUGAGCUUGAACAAAAUAAAAGAUUCGAAAUUCAUUUCAAACCGAGCUUGAGUAUUACUUGGUUCGUUCGAAUUAGGCUCAAGAAGCUCGAAAAGCUCGACUAUAUAUAUAUAGUAGAGCUACUAUGCUAUCGAAAAUAUAAAAAUAUAGUGCUUUCGAUUUUUUGAUUCUUAGAUCAAUCCCUUUAAUCGUUUCUUAUCUUUGGAUUAAUAUUAUUAUUACCUUGUAGGGACCACUCAAUCCUAAGAGUAUCAUUUAAUCCUAAGGGAGACCGCAAUCAUCCCAGCCAUACAAUUUUUAAUCAAAGGAUCAAAAAUUCAAAAACAUCAAAUCCUCUAUAUUUUCGAUAGCAUAGUAGUUCUACACUAUAUAUAUAUUAAAAAAUAUAUAAAUAUAAUAUAUUUUAAUUAUACAUAGGUUGAGUGAAUAAUUUAAGUUUAGUUAAAAUUAGGCUAAUAUUGUUGGCUCAUAAAAACAAAUCCAAUAGACAAAUAAAAGAAUAAAAUUUUACUAAAUUUAUAUAUUUUUUCUUUCUUUAUUUCUUUCUUUCUUUUUUUUCACAGAGCUCUAAAUUUUUAAUUUGUUUUUCUCUUUUUCUUUUUCUGUCUCUCACCCUAAGUUGCCAAGCCGGAAGUCCUCUAAGUUACCAAGUAACAUCAUAUGCCCGCCGUUGCCUACCUUGCUAUUAAUUGUAUGCUUGAGAAAAUAUACAGAAUAUUUUUAAAGUAAAAAAUUAUUAUUCAUAUAAAAUUUUAAUUUUAGUUAUAUAUGAUUGGAUAGUUUAAUUCAAUAUUUAUCUAUAUAAUUUAUUUAUUUUUCACUACAUAAAUAAAAAUGAAUAAUAUAGAGAUUGAAGACGGAAGAAAAGACAUGUGAGGCUGAAAAAAUUAAAUAUUCAACUCAUAAAUUAUUUUUUUCAUAUUAUAAUACUAUAUUUCAUAUAAUUAUUUUGUACGUUGAACUAUUAGACAUAUUUUUGUAUCAAAUUAUAGAUAAUGUUCUAUAUAAAUUAAACUAUUGAUCGUAUAAUGUUGAGAAUUUCAAGCGGCUCAUUUAGGGCUCGAGCUCGCUCAACUUGAAAUUAGGCUCGCUCGAGCUCGGCUCGAAUUAAUUUCAAUCCAAGCUUGAGCUUAAAUUUAGACUCGAAAUUAAUUUCAAGCCGAAUUUGAGCCGAGAUAAGCUCGCUCGAGCUCGGCUCGUUUCCACCCCUAUAUAUAUAUAAUUGAGCUCCUAUGCUUUUAAAAGUACCAAGUCAUUAGUGCUUGUAAGUUUUCGACCUUUGGAUUAAGGAAUGUGCGGUUAGGAUGAUGUUGGCCUCCUAGGGUUGAGUGAGUGGUUGGUUGAAUAGUAUAAUCUAACGGAUAAAAAUGAUGAAAGGCAUAGAUCUAACGGUAAAAAAUUUAGAAACACCAAAUGCUUGGUGCUUUUACAAGCACCAUAGCCGAACUCUAUAUAGAGUAUUGGACCCUUCGUACUCAUAAGUUAUUUUCGAUAAUAGAGCUUCUGAAUCAACGAUCCACUCCGUUAAAUAUGAUCUAGAGUAUUUGAAACUUCUAGAAAAUAAAUUUUGUAACUUUUCGAAAUCAUAAUAAAGUCCAUCAAGCGAGCAUAAAAUGAACGGUCAAAAUCGAACGAUGUCUUAAAAAUGGAUAAUCAGAUCCUUCAAUUUAAGAUCGGAGUUAUUGAUCUUUAUCUAGGUAGUGAAUAGAAUUUUCUAUCAAAAAUUCAACCUAUUCGGAUUCUUUUGCACCGUUAAACUAGCAAGUAUUCCAUACCGGCCGUUAAAAAUUGUCAAUUUUGUGAGCUUUUGAUUGUAAGGUAAAUGAUGUCGAAAAAUUAUGAAAUUUGAUUUCUAGAUGUUUCAAAUGCUCUAGAUAACGUUUAACGGUGUGGAUUGUCGAUUCGGAAGCUCUAUCAUCGAAAACAACUUAUG
rnacentral:lncRNA from 1 species